GAAUAAACUCAAGCUAAUGACCCACUGAGCCGUCAAGAAAGGGCAAAGGAAAAACACCACUUUGGGGUGAAGCGGCAGCGUGUCGUGUUGCUUUGCUUCAAUCGGUGGUGUGACAAGG